UAGGAAAUUCAUGGUAUAACACAACUUUUAGCAGAGCAUCUCUUUGAAAAAGGAGAAAAAAUUCUCCAAUCUCAGCAAACCUUUGUGGUGUCUCCUCUUCAUUUAAAUGCUGUGACACAGAGGUUGAAACUGCCAGAACCCACCUGUGAUCAUGUUUUAAUCUGUAAGUGUUAUAAGCCUAUUUUUUCCUCCUUAUGCUUGAGAUGCACUUAACACUGCUGUACAAAAACCUGAUUAAAUAAUUGAACUUACUUUAAUACUUUUUUAAUCAGAAUGAUUGGAAAGGUGCAUU